AAGCUGUCUCUUUUGUCCUCCCACGAAUUUAAUUAAAGAGUGAAAAUGCUCUUGCUUACAUACAAUAGACGAGAAGACCCUUAGAAUUAUAAAUAGAAUGGUCAACACUGACCCUAAAAUUUUUUGUUGGGGCAACAAAGGUAAAGAUUUAAUAACUACCUUAAUUACUAACCUACGAGCCGAGAAUUUUUAUGGAUGGGGUAAUUACCUAAGGGAUAACAGCAUAAUUAAAUCUAUUAGUUUGUGACCUCGAUGUUGGACUAG
rnacentral:rRNA from 1 species